rfam:Paramecium bursaria Chlorella virus 1 (PBCV-1), complete genome.
GUUCGCUUAGCUCAGUGGUUAGAGCAUUGGUCUUAUGAGCCAAGGGUCACCGGUUCGAUCCCGGUAGCGAACA